rnacentral:tRNA from 1 species
GGACGGCGCCGUCAAGGUGGCGAACCGAGACUUGACACCUCGGGGCGUCGAGUAGCACUCGAUGGGGGUUCGAUUCCUCCGCCGUCCG